GAUGAAGAACGUAGCGAAAUGCGAUACGUAAUGUGAAUUGCAGAAUUCAGUGAAUCAUCGAAUCUUUGAACGCAUAUUGCGCUCUCUGGUAUUCCGGAGAGCAUGCUUGUUUGAGUAUCAGUAAACACCUCAACUCCCUUUUCUUUUUUGAAAUUGGAGCUGGACUUGAGUGAUCCCAACGCUUUCUUCCAAGAAAGUGGCGGGUUGCUUGAAAUGCAGGUGCAGCUGAACUUUUCUCUGAGCUAUAAGCAUAUCUAUUUAGUCUGCCUAAAAAACAGAUUAUUACCUUUGCUGCAGCUAACAUAAAGGAGACUAGUUCUUGUGCUGACUGAUGCAGGAUUCACAGAGACAGCUUCGGCUGACUUUGUAAACUCGAUCUCAAAUCAAGUAAGACUACCCGCUGAACUUAAGCAUACAAUAAGCGGAGGA
rnacentral:misc_RNA from 1 species